AAUUUGGCGGUGUUUUAUUCUAUUCAGAGGAAUUUGUCCCUUAAUCGAUAAUCCUCGUUUUAUCUUUCUUUAUUUUGUUUUCAGUUUGUAUACCGCCGUUAUAAGUUUAUUUUAUUAGAAUAAAAAUUUACUUUAUUCUUUUUUAGAAUUAUUUCAGGUCAAGGUGCAGCUUAUAGUUAAGUGGUGAUGAAUUACAAUAUUUUAUAAAUAUAUGGAUUUUAUUUUUAAAAUUUAAAUGAAAGUGGAUUUGAUUGUAAUUUUUAUAAUAAUGUUUUUUUGAAAUUAGCCCUAAAAUAAGUACACAUCGCCCGUCGCUCUA
rnacentral:rRNA from 1 species